CAAAUCCUUCUUGUCAAUGGUCUGACCCUACGAAGCAGGCCCAUGUAGCACUCUGUCUGGCAUACAGAGUGCACUCUGCCCUCGCGGUCGCCGAAACGUUUACUCACGGAACAGCAUCAGGAGAACUCGAAGUCUAUUCCAGCUGAGAACGGCUCUUCCUUGGAGAUCCAUGCCUGCCGUGCGGUGAAUGAGGCCAGAUGUGCUGCUGCAGAGGCGGUCCGAGAGGGAAUCCCUUAAAGUCGCCGCUGGAGUGAGCCGAGACAUAACCACUCCUGUGAAUGUGUUAUGGGCCAUUUCUAACAAGCUUCCAGGCGAUGUUGCUGUGCUGGUGCAUUCUGUUUUGCGUUUUCCACAUUUACCUAAAUGCCGACUUGCAGAAGAGGAGACAAAAUCUACAGUUACGAAAACAGCGACCAGCACCAUUCAAGGAACGAAGAGCUCCUGAAGCACAGCUCGCAGUGACAUUUACAUAGAAUGCUGAUGCCCCCUAUGUUCUUGAAGCACAGCGUCAACUCAACUCUUUUAUUUGCUCCCCUCCCUCCCACUCAGUAAUAAUAAAAGAAAUACAAAUGACAAAACCCAUCAAAAGUAACAGUGGGUGGGAAAAGAAAAAUACUGAACCUCAUUUAACUGUCAUCAGCUUUGGAACCGUCACCGACAGUGAUGGUGACAAUGGUGACAAUGACAGGGCCGCUGGGAGUGGAGUGCCUCUGCAGGCGGUGCUGGCACCUGCAGGUGAUGCGGCGGAGACGGCUCCAGUACGCCAAGGCCCCCUGGCUUUCCUUUUUGAUUUUACCUCAGUGUUCAACCCAGUACUCCACGUUGCGUAUGAGUGUCAGGGUAAACAAGAAGGCUGUUUAAUUCCAUGUUCAGUAGAAAAAUAAUAUUGAAAAUAAUUAAACUGAGGCUUGAUGAUUCAUCCCUAGUCAUCUCUCUUCUGAAUGUGACCAUUUUUUGACAUGAAAAAUUUUGAUGGUUAACAGACUUCAUCUCCACCCUUCAGCCCAGAGGUAGUUUAUGUCUAAGUGGCUUAGAAAAACAAAACUACAGUAGUCACCCCUUAUCUGUGGGGGUAUGUUCCACGACCCCCAGGGGAUGCCUGAAACCAUGGAUAGUAGUUAACUCUAUACACCAUGUUUUUUCCUACACAUACAUACCUAUGACAAAGUUUAAUUUAUAAAUUAGGCACAGAAAAAGAUGAAUAACAUGAAUUAAUAAUAAACUGGAAUAAUUAUAAUAAUAUGUGGUAAUUAAAGUUACACGAAUGUAAUCUCUCUCUCAAAAUAUCUUGUACUUUACUGAGCUUCUCACUUAAAGGAAGCACUCUAUGGCUUCUCUCUGGCAUAUCUGAUUUGCCAACGUUAGUACCCUUGUGCUUUGGGGCCACUAUUAAGUAAAAUAAGGGUUAUUUGAACACAAGCACUGUGGUGCUGCAGCAGUCGAUCAGGUAACAGAGGUGGCUACUGAGUGACAAGAGGGCAGAGGAGCACAAACACAGCGCGGAGACGCCGGACAGAGGGAUGGUCUGAGCCCUGUGUGGGACACGGUGAGAUUGUGCAAAACUUCAGCACACUACUCAGAAUGACUGGGUUUAAACACUUAUGAAGCAUUUACUUCUGGAGUUUUCCAUUUAACAAUUUUGCAUCAAGGUUGACCAUGGGUAACUGAAACCAUGGGUAGGGGGGACUGCUGUUCAGAAGCUCUAGUAGCCCGUGGCUCUGUCAUUUCUUCAUGCGCCUUGGGAGUUUUUAUAGCAUGUUAAUGAAAAGAAGCACUGCACUAAACCCCCCUGCCUCUGUUUCCUGAGGGGGGAAAACAAAACAGAUCUGAUGGAAGUGGAGUGGGUCAGGGUGGAAAACAUUGGCUCUCCACCUAAUUCAUGUCAGGAGGAAACAGGGAUGGCCGAGAGUUCUAAAGAACACCAUAUGCCAGAGGGCAGAAAUAAUGAUGGGCGAUUGCAAAAGUGCCAAGUUAUCUCAUCAGUAGGGAUUCGCCAUCAUAUGGUGACCUCAUGAAAACCCUCAUAUCGGCACAGACGCCUAAUAAAUACAUGACCAGCAGGUCCUGUAAAUACCCAGACCCUGCUUACAGAAUUGUCUCAACUUAAAAAAAAACUUUUAUGAACAUAUGUUUUAUCUUUAUAAAAUGAAACCACUCAUCUGACUUUACUGUGAUUUCAAAUACAUUUAAA